rfam:Corchorus olitorius cultivar O-4 contig18087, whole genome shotgun sequence.
AUUCCAUGGUGUGGACAUCUUCGUUGCAGAUCCUUGUAUCUUUUCCAGACAUCAUGAAGGGUUUCAUUAUCACGUUGCUCAAAGCUAGUGAUGUCAGUUCUCAGCUU